rnacentral:rRNA from 1 species
UGGCGGACGGGUGAGUAAUGUCUGGGAAACUGCCUGAUGGAGGGGGAUAACUACUGGAAACGGUAGCUAAUACCGCAUAACGUCGCAAGACCAAAGAGGGGGACCUUCGGGCCUCUUGCCAUCGGAUGUGCCCAGAUGGGAUUAGCUAGUAGGUGGGGUAAAGGCUCACCUAGGCGACGAUCCCUAGCUGGUCUGAGAGGAUGACCAGCCACACUGGAACUGAGACACGGUCCGG